GGAGUCGGCCAGACAGUCGCGUCGCGCAAGCGCCGAGGAAAGUCCGGGCUCCACAGGACAAGGUGCCAGGUAACGCCUGGGGGGCGCGAGCCUACGGACAGUGCCACAGAAAAUACACCGCCCAAGUGCUGCGGCACCGGUAAGGGUGAAAAGGUGCGGUAAGAGCGCACCGCGCGGGUGGUAACACGCCGCGGCACGGUAAACCCCACCUGGAGCAAGACCAAAUAGGAAAGCAGGCGACGCAAGUCGUGACACGUGGUCCGCGUGGCUUUCGGGUAGGUUGCAUGAGGCACACGGCGACGUGUGUCCCAGAUGAAUGGCUGUCCCAGACAGAACCCGGCUUACCGGCCGACUCCGACU
rnacentral:RNase_P_RNA from 1 species